GAUGAAGAACGUAGCGAAAUGCGAUACUUGGUGUGAAUUGCAGAAUCCCGUGAACCAUCGAGUCUUUGAACGCAAGUUGCGCCCGAAGCCAUUAGGCCGAGGGCACGCCUGCCUGGGUGUCGCACAUCGUUGCCCCAAUGCCUCAGCCCUGUUGCAAGGCAUGGCAAAGGGGCGAAUGUUGGCUUCCCGCGAGCGAUGCCCUCACGGUUGGCUGAAAAUCGAGUCCGUGGUGGAGUGUGCCGCGAUGGAUGGUGGUUGAGUAAAAGCUCGAGACCGAUCAUGGGUAACUCCACCAGAAUUGGGCUCGGUGACCCACAUGCGUCCCUUGGAUGCCCCCUAAGGAGACCUCAGGUCAGGCGGGGCUACCCGCUGAGUUUAAGCAUAUCAAUAAGCGGAGGA
rnacentral:misc_RNA from 1 species